AGGUGUUUGACUUUGAACUGACUAAAGAGGAGAUGGCAACUAUCCUGACCUUCAACAGAAACUGGAGGAUCUGUGAAAUGAACGUGUCCAAAAAUCUCAAGGAAUACCCUUUCCGUGCAGAAUACUGAAGGUGUUUGUAACAUGGCCUUCACUAGACCUCUGGUGCCAUCUCCCCUGGUGCUGCCAGUGAAGACGUGGCAUGUUUAUCCCACAACAUUUGGGGGUUUUGGAAGAAAAAAAAUAAUAUUUUCUACAGCACCACUAUUCACUGGUUGCCUUAAGUCUUGCAUCAGUAGAAAACAGAUGUUGACAAACACACCCCACAGAUCCACAAUUUCAUCAGAGGGGUCACGCAUUUUAAAUAAAAUUAACUUUAAAAUGCAAAAAA